rnacentral:rRNA from 1 species
AGAGUUUGAUCCUGGCUCAGGACGAACGCUGGCGGCGUGCCUAAUACAUGCAAGUAGAACGCUGAAGAGAGGAGCUUGCUCUUCUUGGAUGAGUUGCGAACGGGUGAGUAACGCGUAGGUAACCUGCCUUGUAGCGGGGGAUAACUAUUGGAAACGAUAGCUAAUACCGCAUAACAAUGGAUGACACAUGUCAUUUAUUUGAAAGGGGCAAUUGCUCCACUACAAGAUGGACCUGCGUUGUAUUAGCUAGUAGGUGAGGUAACGGCUCACCUAGGCGACGAUACAUAGCCGACCUGAGAGGGUGAUCGGCCACACUGGGACUGAGACACGGCCCAGACUCCUACGGGAGGCAGCAGUAGGGAAUCUUCGGCAAUGGGGGCAACCCUGACCGAGCAACGCCGCGUGAGUGAAGAAGGUUUUCGGAUCGUAAAGCUCUGUUGUAAGUCAAGAACGAGUGUGAGAGUGGAAAGUUCACACUGUGACGGUAGCUUACCAGAAAGGGACGGCUAACUACGUGCCAGCAGCCGCGGUAAUACGUAGGUCCCGAGCGUUGUCCGGAUUUAUUGGGCGUAAAGCGAGCGCAGGCGGUUUGAUAAGUCUGAAGUUAAAGGCUGUGGCUCAACCAUAGUUCGCUUUGGAAACUGUCAAACUUGAGUGCAGAAGGGGAGAGUGGAAUUCCAUGUGUAGCGGUGAAAUGCGUAGAUAUAUGGAGGAACACCGGUGGCGAAAGCGGCUCUCUGGUCUGUAACUGACGCUGAGGCUCGAAAGCGUGGGGAGCGAACAGGAUUAGAUACCCUGGUAGUCCACGCCGUAAACGAUGAGUGCUAGGUGUUGGAUCCUUUCCGGGAUUCAGUGCCGCAGCUAACGCAUUAAGCACUCCGCCUGGGGAGUACGACCGCAAGGUUGAAACUCAAAGGA